CCGCCCUGAGCGCCGUUGAGUCCGAAAGCCUCGCUCCGCGCCCCCCGGUUCUCCUCCCUCCGCGCCCGGCCGCGAGGCUGUAAACAUGCUUCUCCUGCUGCGUCGCGCUUGCUCGCCGUGUUACUGACCCGGCUGUUUCCGUGAAGCCGGUGUUUUUGUUGUGCGUGUGCGGCUGGCUGGCCACGUGCGGCAGUUGAGCUGCUGGAAUGCGAGUCCCUCACAGGAUGGGCUGUGAGCGCAGAGGAGAGGUCAGCGAUCUGUAACCCAGGACAACUUGCUAAACCUCUUCUCCACGUCUUGGCUUCCUCUUUGGUCUUUGAGGGACUCCUACACGUGUUCAGGACUCCUGAGAAGUGAACGGUCAGCUGUGGACCCAAGCAGGGUGGCGUUAGUGGGCGUCCAGAGGGCCCAGCUGAGUCGGCCUGCAGGGCGUCAUCCGUGCUCAGACCUGCGGUUGCAGUCCUGGCUUAGAGCUCUUCGUGGCUGGCGGCUUCCGAAGAAGUCAGCCUCACUCUUGUAAUGUCUUUUUAUAAGUGCUUUUAAGCAUUUAUAUAAAUGUACAAUUUGAUGGGUUUUGACAUAUGUAUUCACGCAAGAAAUUAUCACCAAAGUACUGAAAAUACCCCUCAUGCCCCACAGCUUUCUCUUCUGCCUUUAGAAUGAGCUUUUCACCCCUUGCCCCCAGGCGUCCACUGAUUUCUGUUACGAUACUUGGGUUUGCAUUUUGUGGGGUUUUAUGUAAGCAGCAUUGUACAGCAUGUCCUCUUUUUGUCUGACUUCUCAAGUUUCCUUAGCAUGAUCAUUGGAAGAUUCAGCCUUACACGUGUCACUGGUUAAUUAGUGUUGAGUGGCAUUCCGUUGUAUGGGUGGGCCACAUCAUCUUAUCCAUUCACCUGCUGGAUAAAUUCACCUAUCUGUGCUAUUUUAAUUCGCUUACACUGUGUCCCCCAGCAGCUUGAGGAGGGGGAGAGGAACUGGGUUGGAUUUACAGGGUGUGUGCUGCACGAGGGGGGCAGGAGCUGCUGGUUCCAAGGACGAGGGCGGCCGAGCUCCGUCCCAGGUGUUAUGGGCACUCUUCUUCAGCCUUCUC
rnacentral:lncRNA from 1 species